CUGUCUACAACCCCAAUUCCGAAAAAGUUGGGACAGAAUGUAAAAUGUAAAAAAUAUAUCUAUUUUUAGUGUAGGAAGGCAACACGAUACAUUAAGAGCCAGGGAGGGGGGUGUAAACCUUUGAACAGGAUGAUCGGUGUAAAUUGUUAUUAUUUUGUCUUCUGGGAAACAUGUAAAUAUCUUAUUUAGCGUCUGAAGGGCAGGACUAAAUGAAAAAAAAGAUCUUUAAACAAAAUAAUAAUAAUUUACAUCACUCGUCCUGUUCAAAAGUUUACACCCCCCUCCCCGGCUCUUAAUGUAUCGUGUUGCCUUCUUGAGCAUCUGUGAAUGUUUGCGCAUUUUGUAAUAGUCGUGUACGAGUCCCUCAGUCGUCCUCAGUGUGAAAAGAUGGAUCUCGACAUCAUAUAGUCACCGCUGGAAAGGGGUCAAAUAUGCAGAAGAUGCCGGAAAAGCAAAGAAUGUGCAGGACCUGGAGGAUUUUUCUGAAGAACGGUGGGCAGUUUAACUGCUCAGGACGAACAAGGGACUCGUGAACAACUCUCACAGAACAUAAACACAGUCGUUGAUCAUCCAGGGUCGCAGGGAGCCUGGAGCCUAUCCCAGGGGACUCGAGUCAUGGGGCACGGGACGCCCUGGACGGGGUGCCAAUCCAUCACAGGGCAUUAUCACACACUACAGACAAUUUGGAAAUGCCAAUCAGCCUACAACAUACAUGCAUACAACAUGUCUUUUGAAUUGGGGGAGGAAACCACCAAAGAAUGGGGAGAACAUGCAAACUCCGCAGACACACAGUGGUGGGGAGAAUUGACCCCACCAAGGUAUGGGGCAAAUGUGCUAACCACUAAGCCACUGUGCCCCCACCCCCCAAGACAAAUUUACCUCAAGCUAUUCUUUUGUAGUUUCCAUCGCUGGUGUCAUUCAGAAUAAACAUUUGAAGUAAUGGAUAUUUUGUUAUAUGCUAAUUAUUUCAGAGUUCUAGAAUGGAUUGUGAAGGACAUGAGUGAUUGUUUUUAUUUAAUCACGUGGCUCAGUGUAGGUACAGGAGGAGAUAAGGGUCGAGGACUCUGUAACUGAAUUAGUACAGCCUAAUUCACAAAAAGCACAUGGUAU
ensembl:lncRNA